UGCGCGGGACGUCGUUCUCCCGGUAGUACUCCAUCGCCUGCUGCUUCAGCUUCUGCAGCUCCCUAGUGGUCCCACAGCUGCGGCCGCCGCCUUCUUCCCCCAUGAUGGAGAAUGUUGGCGUGUACAGAUUCUGUGGGUGUGCAGCAAAGAGCAAAGUCAAGUGUGAUUCAAGGUGGGAAAUACCAGCUUCAGUUGCCAACACCCAAGCAGCGCGAAUUGUGGACCUGAGCGCAGUUCACGGGCCGCACCACAAGAGGGCAGUGUUUGCAGGACAUUUUGCGCCUGGCCGCCUCCCGCGGCUCGCCAGGGACUAGAAUUUUGCAGGAUGUCCUCUCCGCGCGGCCAGAGCAGAGCCGAGAUGCAUGUCCUGUGGCUUCCAGUUUGAGCCGUGACACAUGUUCUUCCGUCAACGGGGGUGCGUGCGUGCGGGUGGCACUAGGGAGGCAUCUGUCUGCGGCCCCGCCCUCUCCAAGCCGCCCCCACAGCCUUCCUAGCGGACCUGGCCUCGGGUCGGGUCACGGAACCCACCCACCCAGUCUGGGCCCAGCCGGCUUCUGCCCCCAGGGCUGACCUGAGCCAGAGGGAUAUCCCCGCACCCCCCUCAACAGCCGCCCCCUGCGAUGCUGAUUUGGAGCUCCGGCAGCGCCCCACCCGCCCAGCCACAUUCUGACCAGGUCCCUCGGGCCUUAAUUCCCCAUACGAGGGAGGUAGCUGCCUGGUCUUCUCUUCCCUCCUCCUCUCUUUCACCUUCUUAAAAAAAAAAUUUUUUUUUUUUUUUUGGAAAAGCAAUGCAUAUUCAUGACAAAAAUUCAAAUAACCCAAAAGGAGGAGCUGAUGAAAAGCAGGUCUCCCCUCCCUUCCGAGCUUCCCAGUUUUCUCCCCUCAGGCCAUAAAGGCUAAGAGGUUUUAGCCACAGCCUCCUCCCAGAGGUUCCGGGUGCCUAUGCAGAUACAGAUGAGCAAGCAGGUGUUCAAAACCGCCUUGGCUCCUGGUUCGCUUUUACUAGGCUCGGGAAACCCUUCCGCGUCGGUUCAGGAGCAGCUGCCCUGGUACUUUCUUCACUGGCUUCGGGGCAUUCUAUUGUGUGGAUGCACCAUGCUUGCUUUAACCAUCCCUCCUGGGGGGACGCGUGGGCCCUUUCCAGUCUCUUGCUCUCGGGAGCGGAGGGCAGGGACUAUGUCGCAGGCCCAGCUUUAAACACAGGUGUAAAAUCCACAUGCACUGACUUCUCAGAAGUGGAGUGGCCGGGCGGAGGGUGCAGAUGGGCUGAGCUUUCAUAGUCGUUGCCGUAUCGCCCUUCAAAGACGUUUUGAACCCCUCUACGUGGAUCUAAUCCCAGCGUGAGUGCCCUUUGUCAGUUACUGGUUCUGGUUACUGUUACUAGUACUGGUUCUGGUUACUGGUUCUCAGUCUUGACCGAGGUCAGAAUUACCUGGGGAAGCUUUCUAAAAAUGCCAGUUCCUAGGCCGUAUCCCAUAUCUCAGCCUGAUUAAAUCAGAAUGUGACAGUUUUGUGUGUGUGUGUGUGUGUGUGUGUGUGUGUGUGUGUGUUGGGGGCUGCUGGUUAAGAGGAAGGGAACUGGCGUUGGCACUUACAACCUUUCCCCCCCAAGAUUCUACUGGGCAGGCAGGGGUGAAAGACGCUAUGAUACAUGGAAAACACCUCGUGGAUUUAAGCGUAUAUUCCGUUAAUUAUGAAAGGAAGACGAACAUUUUUCUUUGAGAACAGUGAUUUAGACUUUUCUUGAAUCGCAGACCCUUUGGAGGUUCCGAACAAAAUCAAUGGAUCUUCUAUCCAGAAAAAAAAGUGCAUGCGUGUUGGUCUCAAUUUAAGUGAUCCUAGACCCUUUGGAGCUCCUCCUCAGGCCUCCUGGGACCCUCAGCCUCAGGUUACGGACAGGCCCAGAAAAUUGUUCCUCCCAGACUCUUUCACUGCGCUCCAGGCCUUGUGUGCUCUCCCUGAAGCCCCACCCGAACCUAACCCCUGUGCCCCUCCUGCUGAGAUCUGCCAGGAGCCUCUGCUCCAAAACCGUGUCUGUGUACCCGCAGAACAGCCCAGGUCCUCCUGGUGGGGCUUCCCUGAUGCCCGCCUCUGAGAGGAGCUGCAGGGAGCUCACAGGGACCCACAGCAUGAGGCGCCUGUGCUCAGAGAGCUCACAGUUGGCAGAGGAUUCUGCUGUGUGGCAGGGGCUGUGGGGAUGGGGCCGACGUGGUGCUGUGGAGCACAGUCGACUCAGGUGGGAGCACAGACUGAGGAGAAGGGUGGCCGGGGCCUCCCUGGGGGCAGGUCCUGGGCCGGAGCUGGCAGGAACAGGAUGGGAAGGUGCCACGGGUGUGAGGGAGCUCGUCACCUGCCGAGGAGCUAGGCGCCAGGAAGGUGUGGACACACAGGGAGUUGCCAGUCGUUUGGGGGUGGGAUGUAGGGGAGAAGCGAGUCAGGGGAGAUAGGAAAGGGCGCGUGGCAGGGCAGACGGAUUUCAGGGCAGGGAUGUGCCGUUAGCCCAUUCGCUCUGUGGGAGUCCAGGCGGGCGGAUGGCAAGGAAAGGGCUGAUUCUGGGGUGUUAGGGCAGCAGGGCUCAGCAGGGGAGUGGGGGGCGGGUGGGUCACAGGUACCUGGCUUAGGCUGGAGGGUGGUGAGGACCACGGCCAGGGAGGGACGACAGUGCUCAGUGGGCAGGUGUGUGUGUGUGCGCGCAGGGGCGAGGAGAGGGCGGGAGAGCAGGAUGUGGGUGGACAGCAGAGCGCCAUGCAUCCCCAGGCUGGGGGGUGAGCAGUGUUGGGGGUGGGCGCCUGCUGACAGGUGCACUGAGGGGCAGUCUUGGAGAGAGGCUCAGGGAGGCGGGCAGCGCUCAGGCGGAGGGGCAGUAGUCCUGGAGCAGAGGGCAGAGUGAGGCAGGGCUACUUCUUUGGCCACCAGGACUGCCCCAGUUCCCACAACUGCUCCGUGUGCCCGUGUCCGCCUCCUCUGCAGGCAGAUCUGGGCCGGGGCCGCCCUGGUUCCUCCCACGCAGGACACCCUGACAGGGCGUCAGUCACUGCCCUUGUUCCAGGAGUCAUUCACACGCCUUCCCCAGGAUUUGAACAUUGCAUUGGUCAGGGGGGGGGGGGGGGGGAAGGAGUCGGCUAGCUCACCCAGGGAAAUGCAGCCCCAGAGCCAGCUCAGAGACCACACCGUGAGGGUUUUCAGUUCAGUUCCUCUGGAACUCUUCUAGUCGCCAGUGCUCCUGAGUAUGAGUUACAGAAAGUCGUCCCCAGUCCACACAAGCAAAGGAGGCCUUGUACUUAGGGCCCAGGGGCUCCAUGACGCCCACAGGGUCACUGCAGCAGAGCCCAGGGCCGGCAGGACUGGGGGCUCCCGGGGCUCCCCUCUCUGGCCUCCCCUCACCCUUUGCAGGCUUGUGCUCAGCAUCGUGGGGCCCUACUGACUGGCCCACGUUAGUGUGAUGGCUUCGGUCCCACCCAGAGACAGUCUACCUGUAUUGAUGUCUGCUUAUCUCAUCUCAACUCAGAGAUCUCUGGGAAGGAGCUCCUGGGCCCAGCCCCGUCAGGGACUCACUCCUCAGCCAAUCAGCUGGGACAUUAGGCACCAGGCCUCACUUUCAGGACAUGGUAACGCCCAGGGCAACUAUGCUGGGCAGACAGUCCCCCAGGUGUCAAACCUGACUUCCCAAACAUAACCGUUAGAUGUUCAUUCAUUCACUCACUCACUCACUCAUUCAUCUUACGAACCUUUCUUGAGCAGCUACGGGGUCUAGGCCCCUCUGUAAGUUCUGUGCGCACGGAAGUGAACAACACAGACAAAGUUAUUGCUGCAAUGAAGCCCAUACUCUAGUAGAAAGAAGAAGGCCAUAAAUCAACAACUCAACAAGAAAGAUAUCAGGGUAUGAUGUUCUGCAGAACAAGGACGUUGGGUGAUGUACCAUAGAAACCGGAGACUCUCCACUGCCUCUGGAUGACAAGGGAUCAACUGGGUAAAGACCCGGUGACAAGCACCAGAGGCAGUGGGAACAGGGGACAGGGACCCGAAUGAGUCUGGGGAAAAGUCAGGAGUGUUUAAGACCAGCAGGAAGGUCGCCGGGGACCUGGUAUGGAGCCACUGGAAGGUUAUGUCCUUUCAACCAAAGUUUUUGAAUAUAGAAUGCGUACAAGUAUUACUUAAAACUUAAAACACAUAAAAGGGUAGACACUGAAGGCACUGAGUCCUACCCCUUGCACUGCUCAGGGCAGCCCCUAUUAGCUACCGUAAUAAGCGCUCCCAACUCUCAGUGACGUGGCAUUCGACAGGCUUUCCUCAUGACGUAGCCAGGGGCUCCCCGGCUGGCACCCUGCCUCCCCAGGGCCCCAUUCUCAGCAGUGAUCAGAGAUCCGUAUCCUUCCACUAUACGGCUCCACCAUUCCCAGAGGGCAUUUCCAGCCUUAUGGGAGGGCUGGGAACAGCGGGGCCUGGCUUAACGGAGACGGGCAUCACUCGUAGUCCCGUGGCUCCCGAGUUACCCCAAGGGAAGCUGGGAAGUGGGCCUUCCCUGUGGGCCCGGGGAGAGGAAAUGGAUUGGUGAGCACGUGGCCAGUCUCCGCCCCAUUCAGCCACCUGGUUCCCCAAGAGGCCACCACUGUAGCCAAGUCCUUCUGUGUCCUCCCAGGGAGAUCUUGUGGACGCAUGAGCAAAGACACAUCUACAUGUACUGUCACUUUAAAGCCCACAAAUGCUGGUAUGCCAAGCACAUCACACCUUGCUUUAUUUUCACUUGAGGUUAUAUUGUGGACGCUGGAGGUUUCAAUCUGGGGGACGAUGUGCUCCAGUUUCUAUUGUGCGAAGUGCACCCUGGCCAGUGGGAGAACACGGAUUGGGGAGGGGGGAGUGGGAGCUGGAAGCUGGUCAGGAGGCUGUCCCAGGAGGCACGGCUGACCGUGCAACAUCACUGAGGCCCACGGUGCUUCUGGUGCAGGCCUCAGGGACACUACCCCUUCCUGCCACCGUGCAGCCACCAGCCUGAACGCUACAUGAUUUCGUCCCUUGUUUGUUUGAUUAACAGUUGAUGGGAUGUGCGUGAGCCUUACUGGAAUAUGUUGUCUUGCUUGUUUCUUCUUGGCUUGAUUUUGCUUUCCUGUAGUUUGUUCCUUUGCGUUGCUAUGUGAUCUUCCAUUGGGUGACUAUACCACAAUUCAUUUAUCAUCGUCCAGGGAAAGGGCAUCUUGGUUUUCUUUCUGAAUUUGAGCUGUCAUGAACAGUGCUGCUAUCAACCUUCCCAUAUCUCCAGCUUUUUAGAGACCGCUCGCUCCAAAGUGGUUGAACCAGUUACUACCCUCUUUGCGAGUCGUGCACAAAGGCGCCUAGCGCUCACCAUUAUCGUCACCAACCCUUGGGAUCGUCACAUUUCUAAAUUGUUUGCCAAUCGGCAGUUACAUCUUUUCAUGGCCUCGGCGUGCCUUUUCCUGGUCCCAGCACAGAGCCCGAGCAUCUCUAUAAACGCCUGUUUGCCCUUUGUGUGGCCUCCUCUGUGAAGUGCCUGGUCACUGUUUUUCUCCGUUAAAAAAAAA